AAAAUAAUAAUAAUAACAACCAAACCCAUAAUUUACCAAAACACCAAUAGGCUGACGCCAAAUCUUACUUGCCAACCAUUGGUGGAAAUUUAUUCUCUUUUUUCUCUGUAAUUGCACAAAUAUAAGCUCAAAAUAAGAUAUACUUAUCAGGUAAAGAUCUUAUGAAAACACGUCAAAUUUAAACAUCUCAGCUUGGAAUAAAACAAGCAAAAUUCUAAAUUUCGAAGAUUUGUACGAUGAUAUAUUUGGAUUUUCGUGCCACGUAAAGUUUUAUUUACGUCUUUUUAUUUUAAAGACACAUUUGAUGGCCAAAACUGAUGAGUGCAGAUAUGUGAGUGCAGAGUGGAUGCUUUUUACUUUUACCACAUGCAUAUUUCAGUGUGGAUGAGAUCUAACCUUUACUUUGUGUGCAGAGCGAGGCAAGGUUAGCUGAUGUUGUUGUGAUGGCUGCAGAGGACGGACAGGAAGCAGUUAUUUUAAUACUCCUGAUGACCUACUUCUGUGGAGAUGCUAAAGUACGAGCGUCUCUCGGCUUGUACGCUGGUUGUGACUUGGCUCAGGUGUCCGGAGCGGACGUACUGCCUGAUUUCUUUAGCUCACACUCUAUUAACACAGACAGCUUGACAGCGCGAGGCAGGAAGCAGGCAGAUAGGGCCGCCCCCUUCGGGCUGAGGUGGCCGCCCGGGGUCGCAGGGCUUUCAGCAGGCUCCCAUAACAGGAGGCUUUAAUGCCGCUGCUAUUUCCAUCCCUCUGAUGUCAUCUGGAGGAGGGGCCGGUCCUCCAGCCCAGAGUGGUGAGUCACAACCGGAGAGACGCUCAGGGAGGGAGCGCAUCCAAACAUCCACCGCGCUGAGCCACCAGAGGGAUGGCGAAAAGGGAAAACAGCCUCAAGUGACCAAAAUGACCAUUUAACUGGCCUUAUGUUUGCUCUGUGACAUCCACAUCUUUCAUUUUUAACGCCUGAAAAUUAAAGUGUUUGUAAGCA